AGCGUAGGCGGGCUUUUAAGUUAGGUGUUUAAUCCCGGGGCCCAACCCCGGACAGGCACCUAAAACUGGGAGUCUUGAAUAGUGGAGAGGACGGCGGAAUUGGGGGUGUAGCGGUGGAAUGCGUAGAGAUCCCCAAGAACACCAGUUGCGAAGGCGGCCGUCUGGACACAUAUUGACGCUGAGGCUCGAAAGCAUGGGGAGCAAACAAG
rnacentral:rRNA from 1 species